rnacentral:rRNA from 1 species
AUUAGUGGCGGACGGGUGAGUAACGCGUGGGCAACCUGCCUUACACAGGGGGAUAACAGUUAGAAAUGACUGCUAAUACCGCAUAAGACCGCAGUACCGCAUGGUACAGCGGUAAAAACUCCGGUGGUGUAAGAUGGGCCCGCGUCUGAUUAGGUAGUUGGCGGGGUAACGGCCCACCAAGCCGACGAUCAGUAGCCGACCUGAGAGGGUGACCGGCCACAUUGGGACUGAGACACGGCCCAGACUCCUACGGGAGGCAGCAG